rnacentral:tRNA from 1 species
GGGGGAAUAGCUCAGCUGGGAGAGCAGUAGACUGAAGUUUACUAAUUCUAAAGGUCCCCGGUUCGAGACCGGGUUUCCCCA